GCCGAUUUUAAAAAUUGUCAUUCUUUCAUUUGCGCCGAUUUCAUUUUUUCAUUUGCGCCGAUUUUAUAUUUGGUCCUAAUUAGAUUUACAUGUAAGUUAAUACUUGCAUAAGUACUAUAUACCAUUGGUCAAAUCUGGUUAUAAAAUUUGUUCAUUUAAGUUUAAUAAAUAAGUUAAUUUUGAUUGCACACUAAAACGAGCCGAGGAGUCAAUUCGUUAAUCGUCGACAGUCAUACAUAUCGGAAGGUCAGUGUCCUGAAACAUAAAAAAAACAUAUCUUACUGAUAUACCAUAAAAUCGUGAAAAGCUAGAGUCACCACGAAUUCAGCUGAUGGUCUGACUACUGUCAACCCACAGAACGAGCAUAACAAUGUGGCAGAUGAUCGAAAGACAGAGGCUAAAGAACUACGGGUACGGUCAAGGAAAGAGUCUGGAGAUGUAUCCAGUAGGCCUUCCUUCACCUCCUCGUGAGCAGGGUACAAUAGUUAUAUUCAUGUUAUGAUUGACAAUUCAUAACAUUUGUACAACUGACUAACGGAAGAGGUCUAUAAUGAUAAAAGAAAA
rnacentral:lncRNA from 1 species